rnacentral:rRNA from 1 species
AUACGUAGGUGGCAAGCGUUGUCCGGAAUUAUUGGGCGUAAAGCGCGCGCAGGUGGUUCCUUAAGUCUGAUGUGAAAGCCCCCGGCUCAACCGGGGAGGGUCAUUGGAAACUGGGGAACUUGAGUGCAGAAGAGGAUAGUGGAAUUCCAAGUGUAGCGGUGAAAUGCGUAGAGAUUUGGAGGAACACCAGUGGCGAAGGCGACUGUCUGGUCUGUAACUGACACUGAGGCGCGAAAGCGUGGGGAGCAAACAGGAUUACAUACCCUGGUAGUCCACGCCGUAAACGAUGAGUGCUAAGUGUUGGGGGGUUUCCGCCCCUCAGUGCUGCAGCUAACGCAUUAAGCACUCCGCCUGGGGAGUACGGUCGCAAGACUGAAACUCAAAUGAAUUGACGGGG